CUGCACUGUCAGCUGACUGGAAUGCCCUCCCCCUGGCUAUCCAUUCUCAGUGUCAGUGCCAGAUAAACCUCAGUUAGCAGAAGGGCUGGGUCAAACCGUUGGUUCACUCCUUUCGAAGGCUGAGAACACUG